rnacentral:rRNA from 1 species
GACGGAGGCCCCGAGCGUUGUUCGGAAUCACUGGGCUUAAAGCGCGUGUAGGCGGGACGGUAAGUACCUUGUGAAAUCCCCGGCUUCAACCCGGGAACUGCUCGGUAUACUACCGUUCUUGAGGCAGGUAGGGGUCGCUGGAACCUUAGGUGGAGCGGUGAAAUGCGUAGAUAUCUAAGGGAACGCCUGUGGCGAAAGCGGGCGACUGGGCCUGUCCUGACGCUGAGACGCGAAAGCGUAGGGAG